rnacentral:other from 1 species
GCUGGGCUGCCUGGUGCGUGCGAGGAACUGUAUUCCCGGGCCCAUACGACUCCCUAGGGAGCUGUCCCUGACCGGGUCCCUGGACCCGGACACACGGCGCCCACCUACUUUAGUAGGUGUCCCGGGAUCGAAAUCUCCACGGCCGAGGUGGCUCAGCA